rnacentral:rRNA from 1 species
UGGGGAAUAUUGCACAAUGGGCGCAAGCCUGAUGCAGCCAUGCCGCGUGUGUGAAGAAGGCCUUCGGGUUGUAAAGCACUUUCAGCGAGGAGGAAGGUGGUGAGCUUAAUACGCUCAUCAAUUGACGUUACUCGCAGAAGAAGCACCGGCUAACUCCGUGCCAGCAGCCGCGGUAAUACGGAGGGUGCAAGCGUUAAUCGGAAUUACUGGGCGUAAAGCGCACGCAGGCGGUUUGUUAAGUCAGAUGUGAAAUCCCCGGGCUCAACCUGGGAACUGCAUUUGAAACUGGCAAGCUAGAGUCUCGUAGAGGGGGGUAGAAUUCCAGGUGUAGCGGUGAAAUGCGUAGAGAUCUGGAGGAAUACCGGUGGCGAAGGCGGCCCCCCUGGACGAAGACUGACGCUCAGGUGCGAAAAGGCGUGGGGGCAGCAAAACAGGAUUAGAUACCCUGGUAGUCCAGCGCUGUAAACGAUGUCGAUUUUGGAGGUUGUGCCCUUGAGGCGUGGCUUCCGGAGCUAACGCGUUAAA